rnacentral:rRNA from 1 species
GACGUAGGGCGCGAGCGUUGUCCGGAUUUAUUGGGCGUAAAGAGCUCGUAGGCGGUCUGUCGCGUCUGCUGUGAAAACUCGGGGCUUAACCCCGGGCCUGCAGUGGGUACGGGCAGACUAGAGUGCGGUAGGGGAGACUGGAAUUCCUGGUGUAGCGGUGAAAUGCGCAGAUAUCAGGAGGAACACCGGUGGCGAAGGCGGGUCUCUGGGCCGAUACUGACGCUGAGGAGCGAAAGCGUGGGGAGCGAACAGG